UACGAAGGGUGCAAACGUUGCUCGGAAUUAUUGGGCGUAAAGCGCACGUAGGCGGCCUUGCAAGUCGGAUGUGAAAUCUUAUGGCUUAACCAUAAAAGUGCAUCCGAAACUGCAGUGCUUGAGUACUUAAGAGGAUCGCGGAAUUCCCGGUGUAGAGGUGAAAUUCGUAGAUAUUGGCUGGAACACCGGUGGCGAAAGCGGCUCUCUGGCCCGGUUCUGACGCUGAGGCGCGAAAGCGUGGGGAGCAAACAGG
rnacentral:rRNA from 1 species